ACUCUAAAGUAUUCUUGUCAAGCCCUGCCCAAUUCCACUUCUCCCCUCUCUUGGGGAGAGGCCUUGGGAGAAGCCUCCAUGGGCUCCGCCCGUUGCCGUUGCUACUGCUGGUGGGGACCCUGGAAGCGAAGGGGGAAGGAGGACCCACGUUGGGAGAAUACAACAGAAUGGAACGGACCUGGAAGGGACCUUGGAGGUCUUCUAGAUCAGUCCCCUGCUCAAGCAGGACAUCCUAUACCAUUUCAGACAAAUGAUUGUUCAGUCUCUUUUUAAAAACCUCCAGUGAUGCAGCGCCCAGAAUUUCUGAAGACAAAAUGUUGCACUGGAUAAUUGUUCUCACUGUUAGGAAGUUUCUCCUUCAUUCCAGGUUGCUUCUCUCCUUGAUCAGUUUCCAUCCAUUUUUCCUUGUCUUGCUUUGGAAAAUAAACCCCUCCAAUAUUCAAAUAUUGGAAUACUGCUA